GGAGGGUUGGCAGAGUGGACGAAUGCACCUCAUUGCUAAUGAGGCGUGCGGAAACGCACCAAAGGUUCGAAUCCUUUAUCCUCCG
rnacentral:tRNA from 1 species